rnacentral:pre_miRNA from 1 species
AAGAUACUCCCUCCGUCCGGAAAUACUUGUCAUUGAAAUGGAUGUAUCUAGAUGUAUUUUAGUUCUAGAUACAUUCAUUUUCAUCCAUUUUAAUGACAAGUAAUUCUGGACGGAGGGAGUAUAUA